rnacentral:rRNA from 1 species
UACGGAGGAUGCAAGCGUUAUCCGGAAUGAUUGGGCGUAAAGGGUCCGCAGGUGGCAGUGUAAGUCUGCUGUCAAAGAAUGAGGCUUAACCUCAUCAAGGCAGUGGAAACUACACAGCUAGAGUACGGUCGGGGUAGAAGGAAUUCCUGGUGUAGCGGUGAAAUUCGUAGAUAUUGGGAAGAACACCGGUGGCGAAGGCGGCUCACUGGCUCGUAACUGACGCUCAUGCACGACAGCGUGGGGAUCAAACAGG